rnacentral:rRNA from 1 species
AACGAACGCCGGCGGCAGGCCUAACACAUGCAAGUCGAGCGAAGCCUUCGGGCUUAGCGGCGGACGGGUGAGUAACGCGUGGGAACGUGCCCUUUGGUACGGAAUAGCCCCGGGAAACUGGGAGUAAUACCGUAUGUGGUCGAGAGACGAAAGAUUUAUCGCCAAAGGAUCGGCCCGCGUUGGAUUAGGUAGUUGGUGGGGUAAUGGCCUACCAAGCCGACGAUCCCUAGCUGGUUUGAGAGGAUGAUCAGCCACACUGGGCCUGAGACACGGCCCAGACUACUACGGGAGGCAGCAGAGGGGAAUCUUAGACAAUGGGGGUACCCCUGAUCUAGCCAUGCCGCGUGAUCGAUGAAGGCCUUAGGGUUGUAAAGACCUUUCAGUGGGGAAGAUAAUGACUGUACCCACAGAAGAAGCCCCGGCUAACUCCGUGCCAGCCGCCGCCGUAACAC